AAAACACAUUGUUAGAGCUUGGAUUGAGACCGCUGGCUGGUUGAUGAAGUCUCACGUCUAGGUCGUGUGCUACAUGAGGGACAAGUGUUUCUGCUAACACCACAAGGGUCUUUGGCCCCGUGAGUGUCAUUUGAUAGUAGUUCUUGUUACAAAU